rnacentral:miRNA from 1 species
UUUUUAGUUGGCAUGCAUUCA